GGUCGGCGUUCAGGACUUGCUUGGUUGCAGAUUAAUUCGCGCCAAUAACUUAAGAAAAUAAUUUCGCUGGCCAGCCGAUAUUAUCUUCAGGAGUCACUUUAGCGAACAAAAAUAAAAAGACUUAGACUGAGGUUCUCUUAUGCGCGCAGCUUGUUACUGAGGCUCUAAAGGACUUGGGAAUGCUUUCAUCCAAGUUUAGAAUAAAAAUCUGAGCUUAAGGCACUUAAUAACACGCGGGGAAAAAUUGCGAACGAUAGACGAAGACAAAAGAAAACUAGACGAAGACAAAAACGGAAGAGACAAAAACUGAAGAGAAGACAAAACUGAAAAGAAGACAAAACUGAAGACCGAGCAAAGACUCCCGGGCUCUUUUAAACCAUCCCGUGUGGGCGUGAGCCAAGAGGAAAGUUACAGCCAAUGCUGUAACCCGAUGCAGCACAUCGACUGGCAGCGAAUUUAACUCAACUUGAUAUUAAAAGCGAGCUAGAUCUAAUUUACUCACUCACUAUGAUUAAACUGUUUGUAACAUCACAUACGAUCACAUUUCACUUCAUUGUUUCUUAUGAGCAGACGCAUUAAAGCAUGACAUUGAAAACAGUAAACUUUGAUCAGCCGUCUUCUUGACACUAACAGAGGAUUAACGACUUUUAAAAGUUAGAGAGGGACAGAAAACCAAUUAUCUAUUCGAACAGAAACACCAUCCAGCAUAAGUAACACAUACGUUAUAAUAUUUGAGAACAUUAUAACCUUGUCAAUCAAGCUUCCUAGAUGAUUAAUAUAUAUUUUUGUGUGAGGUAGAUAAAACAUAGUAUGGAUACAUUCCGAAACUCUUAACUUGAGUCUAAACGAGUUUCACGUUACUACUUCUAAACUACUAGCCUAUCUUGGGAAUACCAUUUACUAAGCUACGAGGUGUAUAACAAAAGGAAAGAAAUACACGUGAUUAGAUUCCUGCCAUUUGGCUCUGAUCAAACCAUAUUCAGGCAUCACCACUAGGAGGAGCUCUUGGUCCAUGGAAAACCUGGAAUAAAUUUGUGAAGUUAACAGUUUGGCUUGUGGAUAUGUUACAGAAUUGGGAAAAAGACCAUUUCAUUAAGAAUGUGGUGUACAGACAGAAAAUCCUGGUGAAGUGUCCAUUAAACAAGAAGUUAAACCAUUUUCAGGCAUCCUCUUCCUUCUGCUCUGCAAAGAAAGCCAAGGAAUUUAUGGCAGGUAUCUGGUUUUUCAGAUUUGGCGCCAACCGGCCUGUUUUCCCCCCUAGGUCAUUGGGUUAAUCCUGAAGUGUCAAUUCUGAUCUUUCCCAACCAGGGUGAGAGACUCCGUGUUUAUGGGUCUGUGUGGUUGAUAAGCAACUUGUCCUUUUUGGGAAGCGUUAAAGAUUCACUAUCACCUCCCAAAUGGUUGCCUGGGUCGUAAAUGGGAACUUGGUGUGCAAACCGUUACUCCCCCAUUUCCUGUCCAAACCAGAGGAGCCUGCAUUCCUUUGAGGGGUGAAUUCAAGGUGGAUAGCAGAAAGCAGUUGUCUCAUUACAGUGUAAAGGUAAGAGGACAGGUGUGUUGGUUUAAUGCAACAUUCACAGCAGUUUAAGUUUGACACACGCGGCAGUGCUUCGUUAAUGUUAAUUAACAAGUUCCUCUGAUGUCGGCCAUGUUGGAACUGCUCCUACACAUUCACCAUUUCACCACUAGGCGCUGCUGUUUAUAAAGCUAAGGGACUGGAGAUGAAUAUGUGUCAAUGCCUCUAAUGUACCUCCUGUUCAUGAUUGUUUAGAGAAAGUGUCUGUUUGUGACGAUAGUUUCAGUAUUUAAGUUAAUUUGAAUAAGUUUGUUUAUAUCCACAUUCAACUGCUUGUUUUUUGUUCAUAUUUGUCUUAAUACGCUCCCACACAGUAAUAUUAGUCCUGUGUAUAACCAGAAAAUAAAGUGUGGAAAUGUAACCCUGGGUCCUGUCGUCUACACUUCCAAGAUAAGAAGUUGUGAGGGGGGUAAGAGUCAGCGAAGUGUUAAAUAAAGGUUUUCUUCUAUUUGUGUAUUUCACUUUACAAACACGACCGUUUGGAACUUAUUUUAAAAAUUUUUUUCAACAUACUGUACUAUGACUUUUUAAUCAUACAGAACACAGAUUUUUUUAACCAUAUGAUACUAUGAUAUUUUUUACAGACUAAAUUAUAACAAUUUUUUUUAUCAUACUUUGACUUUUAAAAUCACACUGUAUUUAUCAUAUUAUACCAUGACAUUUAUUUUAUCAUACUGUACCAUGACAUUUUUUACAUACUUAAAUAUGACUUUUUUUUUUCAUACUAUACUUUGACAUUUUGAUCAUUUUAUCCUAUGACAAGUUUUGUUCAUACUAUACAAAAUUGUCAGGCUGGGGCCACUGUGGCCUGUAUCAGAAAUGGACAAGAAGCUGAAGACAGAGAUCUGAUAAGAGUCUUCAGUGACUGGAGUCAGAAUAACUGCCUCCUCCUCAACUCCUCAAAGACAAAGGAGAUGGUCAUAGACUUCUGUAGAUCCAAACCUCCUCUUCAGCCAGUGAACACCUGUGGAGUGGACAUCCAAGUGGUGACAUCAUAUAAAUAUCCAGGUGUACAUCUGGAUAAUAAGUUGGACUGGUCUAAGAAUAUCGACUUCAUCUACAGAAAGGGGCAGAGCCGCCUCUUUAGCCUGAGAAGACUCCGAUCAUAGACAUCUGUAGUUAGAUGCUGCAGAUGUUUGAUCAGUCUGUGGUGUAGAUCUACAGUGUUCUGUUCUACGCUGCAGUCUGCUGGGGAGGAAGUAUCAAACACAAAGAUGGAGACGUCUGAACAAACUGGUGAAAAAGGCUGGCUCUGUGGUAGGACUCCAGCUGGACUCAGUGGAGGAUGUGGUGGAGAGAUCUACACUGAAAUUUUCGUCAUAGUAUACUAUGUUGUUUUUUUUCAGGCUAAAAUAUGACAUUUUUAACAUCCUUUACCUCUUUUUUUUUGCUGAGUCAAUACUAUGGCAUGUUUUUUCAUCUUAAAAAUGGAAUUUUAUUUUGACUGUAAAAUUUGAAAUUUUCGUCAUUGUAUACUAUGUCGUUUUUUUUUCCAGGCUAAGAUAUGAUAUUUUUAACAUCCUUAUCUAUGUCAUUUAGAUCAGACAAUACCAUGGCAAGUUUUUUCAUCUUAAAAAUGGAAUUUUAUUUUGACUGUAAAAUAUGAAAUUUUUGUCAUAGUAUACUAUGUCGUUUUUUUUCAGGCUAAAAUACGUUUUUUUUUUUCUCAGGCUAAAAUAUGAUAUUUUUAACAUCCUUUGUGAUGUCAUUUAGAUCAGACAAUACUAUGGCAUGUUUUUUCAUUUUAAAAAAGGAAUUUUAUUUUCACACUAAAAUCUGAAAUUUUCGUCAUAGUAUACUAUGUCGUUUUUUUUCAGGCUAAAAUAUGUUUUUUUUUUCAGGCUUUUUUUUCAGACCGCAGCAAACUGGCAGCCUGCAGAUCUUUUACACGCACCAAUACUACAUUUCCCACAAUGCAACGGUGACGCACCAAGAAGUAGGCUGCUUCAUUUCAAUAUUUAAAUCUAACCCUAACCCUAACUCCUCCCUCUAACCCAACCCCUACCUCUAACCCUAACCCUCCCUCUAACCCUAACCCUAAGUCUAACCCAAACCCUAACCCCUAACCCUAGCCACUAACCCUAGCCCUAACCCUAACCCUAGCCACUAACCCUAGCCCUAACCCUAACCCUAGCCCUAACCCUCCCUCUAACCCUAACCCUAAAUCUAACCCAAACCCUAACCCCUAACCCUAGCCACUAACCCUAACCCUAGCCCAAACCCUAGCCCUAAUCCUAACCCUAGCCCUAGCCCUAACGCUAACCCUAGCCCUAGCCCUAACCCUAAACCUAACCCUAGCCCCAACCCUAGCCCUAACCCCAGCCCCAACCCUUAAGCUAACCCUAGCCCCAACCCUAAACCUAGCCCUAACCCUAGCCCUAACCCUAACCUUAACCCUAACCCUAGCCCUAACCCUAACCCUAACCCUAACCUUAGCCCUAACCCUAACCCUAGCCGUAACCCUAACCCUAACCCUAGCCCUAACACUAACCCUAGCCCUAACACUAACCCUAACCCUAGCCCUAACCCUAACCCUAACCCUAACCCCCUAACCCUAACGCUAACCCUAACCCUAGCCCUAACCCUAACCCUAACCCUAACCCUAAACCUAGCCCUGGGCCUAACCCUAACCCUAACCCUAACCCUAGCCCUAACCCUAACCCUAACCCUAGCCGUAACCCUAACCCUAACCAUAUAACCCCUAACUCGAAGGGUUAGGGGUUAUAUGGUUAGGGAAAAUAAUCCCGUCUCCCCUAAAUUCUCCCCUAAAUUCCCCCUAAAUUCCCCUAACCAUAUAACCCCUAACUCGAAGGGUUAGGGGUUAUAUGGUUAGGGUUAGGGUUUGAUGGAAGGAUGGAAGGAACUAGGGUUAGGGUUAGGGUUAGGGUUAGGGUUAGGGGGUUAGGGUUAGGGUUAGGUUUAUGGAUAUAGGGGGACUGUCUCCUAGAAUAGGAGACAGGAGGUGCACGGUCCAUCCCCCUGUUCCCCGUCCCCCACGACCCCGUUUGGUACUGCUGAUAAGUGCGAUACGGACGUUGACCACGCCUUCUCCCGUAUCGCACUUCAGUCCAUUGUUCUUGGUCGUAAGUCAUGAUUGUUGUUUUAACCUUUUUAAUUAUUUAUUGUUAUUUAUUAAUGUGGUGUAUCUAUGAAACUAUUUAUUUAUUUAUUGGUCUGUCUAUUGACCUUUUUAUUCCAAUCAAGGUAUUUAAAACAAAAACUGUAUCAAAUGAAUUGUUCUUUAUUUUUUUAUGCUUUUUUUGUGUUUUGUGAAAUAAAAAUGAAAUAAAAGUGAGAAAACUAAAUAAAAUGUGUAUGAAAAUGAAGAAUCGAAGAUAAAGGGGUGAAAAGAGUGCCCAGUCGCGACGUUUCGACCCGCUUGGGUCUUCUUCAGGCUAUGGGCACAGAAAGGGAUAUGUCUGGACUUGUCUGAGUGUGUGUAUGAGAUGUUUUCUCUUCCGGAGACAUAUGUGAAGUGGGAGAAGUGGGCUGUGUGUGCGUGUGUUAUUUAUAGGGGCGUGGGAGAGAGCAGAGCCAGACGGGGCCCCCGGCCGUCUGGGUGCAGUUAACCCCAUAAAUGCCAACUGAAAUUAGAUGACAUGAAUGUUAAUGGCCAAUUGGAUUUUUUUACCCUCUUUUAACAGAUUAAUUUUAAUGAAUCAUAAUUGUAAUGCCCAAUUAGAAUUUUUUAUGCUCUUUUUAACUUAUUUAAUUUAAUGAAUUGUAAUUGUAAUGCCCAAUUUUAACGUUUGCCCAUUAGAAUUGUAAUGAAAUUGAUUUUUUAAAGACAGAUGUAAUUAUGUUAGCCCCUAAUUCCCUUUUUAAAUUUUAGAUGAGAUAUAUAUUUGUAUUAUUUAUGGUUUUAAUGUCUAAUAAUCCAUAAUGGAUUAAAAAGAAUUAAUUAAAAUAAAUUAUUAGUUUUUAGAGGUUAGGGUUAGGGGUCAGGGCUAGGGUUAGAGAGGUUAGGGUUAGAUUUGAUCCCCGAGGGUUAGGGUUAGGGUUAGGGUUAGGGUUAGGGUUAGGGUUAGGGUUAGGGUUUAGGGUUAGGGUUAGGGUUAGGGUUAGGGUUAGGGUUAGGGUUAGGGUUAGGGGUUAGGGUUAGGGUUAGGGUUAGGGUUAGGGUUAGGGUUAGGGUUAGGGGUUAGGGUUAGGGUUAGGGUUAGGGUUAGGGUUAGGGUUAGGGUUAGGGUUAGGGUUAGGGGGUUAGGGUUAGGGUUAGGGUUAGGGUUAGGGUUAGGGUUAGGGUUAGGGGUUAGGGUUAGGGUUAGGGUUAGGGGGUUAGGGUUAGGGUUAGGGUUAGGGUUAGGGUUAGGGUUAGGGUUAGGGGGUUAGGGUUAGGGUUAGGGUUAGGGUUAGGGUUAGGGUUAGGGUUAGGGUUAGGGGUUAGGGUUAGGGUUAGGGUUAGGGUUAGGGUUAGGGUUAGGGAUAGGGUUAGGGUUAGGGUUAGGGUUAGGGUUAGGGUUAGGGUUAGGGGUUAGGGUUAGGGUUAGGGUUAGGGUUAGGGUUAGGGUUAGGGGUUAGGGUUAGGGUUAGGGUUAGGGUUAGGGAUAGGGUUAGGGUUAGGGUUAGGGUUAGGGUUAGGGUUAGGGGUUAGGGUUAGGGUUAGGGUUAGGGUUAGGGUUAGGGGGUUAGGGGGUUAGGGUUAGGGUUAGGGUUAGGGUUAGGGUUAGGGUUAGGGUUAGGGGUUAGGGUUAGGGUUAGGGUUAGGGUUAGGGUUAGGGUUUAGGGUUAGGGUUAGGGUUAGGGUUAGGGUUAGGGGUUAGGGUUAGGGUUAGGGUUAGGGUUAGGGUUAGGGUUAGGGUUAGGGUUAGGGUUAGGGUUAGGGUUAGGGGUUAGGGUUAGGGUUAGGGUUAGGGUUAGGGUUAGGGGUUAGGGUUAGGGUUAGGGUUAGGGUUAGGGUUAGGGUUAGGGGUUAGGGUUAGGGUUAGGGUUAGGGUUAGGGUUAGGGUUAGGGGUUAGGGUUAGGGUUAGGGUUAGGGGUUAGGGUUAGGGUUAGGGUUAGGUUGGGGAAAUAAUCCCGUCUCCCCUAAAUUGCCCUACUUGGGUCGGCGGGGAGCGGGGAAUGCACGGGCCUACGCCCCGUCGGACACGCUCCCCAGGUCCCGAAAGGCUGGCGGCUACUUCCGCCAGCUGAACCGUAUUUGGUCUGGUGUGUAUUAAUUUGUAAUGAAGUUCAUGUAGUCCUAUUUGACUUACUCACACAUACACAAUUCAUACAUGAUCUAUAUUUGAUCUAUGUAUCCCUACAAUGUGCCUGCUGCGUCGACGUUUCGACCUAAUUUGGUCUUCUUCAGGACUGGGCACAUGUAACAGCUAAGGCUGCUGGGCCCCAAUUCAUAGGGGUGGACCAGCCAGCAGCCAGAAAGAAAUGAAAAGCCCUACCAACUUGUCUCCCUUUUAUAUCCCCUCCGCCAAAAAUUAGACUGAAUUUACUUGUAUUUAAGUUAUUUUCUACUCUAUUUAGUUUUUGAAAUCUUAACCCUUUCUGCACCGCUUGUGCUUUAAAUCCAUAUUAAUUAUGUUUAUUCACAUAUUUGUGCUUUUAAUAAACAAAUUAAUAGGUAUUUUUGAUCCCAAUAUUAGGGUUAGGGUCCUGCUUGACCUUUGACCUCUGUGGCCUGCUUGGCCGUUGGUCAUUAAGUUGCCUCUAAUGGUUAGGGUUAGGGCGAGUCCCAGGUUAGGGUUAGAAUCCCAUACUAGGGUUAGGGUUAGGGUUAGGGUUAGAUUCCCAGGUUGGGGUUAGUGCUGGGGUUAGGGUUAGGGGUCAGCGCUAUGGUUAGGGUUAGGGUGAGCGCCAUGGUUAGGGUUAGGGCUAGAUGCCAGGCUGGGGUUAUCAUCAGCAGCCGCCCGGACUGCGAGUCGGCUGAUGUUUUGCAGGUCGGGACCCAGGAAACGCGGCGACAGUGGACGUGGCACUGGCUGGAUAGGUUGGGGAAAUAAUCCCGUCUCCCCUAAAUUGCCCUACUUGGGUCGGCGGGGAGCGGGGAAUGCACGGGCCUACGCCCCGUCGGACACGCUCCCCAGGUCCCGAAAGGCUGGCGGCUACUUCCGCCAGCUGAACCGUAUUUGGUCUGGUGUGUAUUAAUUUGUAAUGAAGUUCAUGUAGUCCUAUUUGACUUACUCACACAUACACAAUUCAUACAUGAUCUAUAUUUGAUCUAUGUAUCCCUACAAUGUGCCUGCUGCGUCGACGUUUCGACCUAAUUUGGUCUUCUUCAGGACUGGGCACAUGUAACAGCUAAGGCUGCUGGGCCCCAAUUCAUAGGGGUGGACCAGCCAGCAGCCAGAAAGAAAUGAAAAGCCCUACCAACUUGUCUCCCUUUUAUAUCCCCUCCGCCAAAAAUUAGACUGAAUUUACUUGUAUUUAAGUUAUUUUCUACUCUAUUUAGUUUUUGAAAUCUUAACCCUUUCUGCACCGCUUGUGCUUUAAAUCCAUAUUAAUUAUGUUUAUUCACAUAUUUGUGCUUUUAAUAAACAAAUUAAUAGGUAUUUUUGAUCCCAAUAUUAGGGUUAGGGUCCUGCUUGACCUUUGACCUCUGUGGCCUGCUUGGCCGUUGGUCAUUAAGUUGCCUCUAAUGGUUAGGGUUAGGGCGAGUCCCAGGUUAGGGUUAGAAUCCCAUACUAGGGUUAGGGUUAGGGUUAGGGUUAGAUUCCCAGGUUGGGGUUAGUGCUGGGGUUAGGGUUAGGGGUCAGCGCUAUGGUUAGGGUUAGGGUGAGCGCCAUGGUUAGGGUUAGGGCUAGAUGCCAGGCUGGGGUUAUCAUCAGCAGCCGCCCGGACUGCGAGUCGGCUGAUUUUUUGCAGGUCGGGACCCAGGAAACGCGGCGACAGUGGACGUGGCACUGGCUGGAUAGGUUGGGGAAAUAAUCCCGUCUCCCCUAAAUUGCCCUACUUGGGUCGGCGGGGAGCGGGGAAUGCACGGGCCUACGCCCCGUCGGACACGCUCCCCAGGUCCCGAAAGGCUGGCGGCUACUUCCGCCAGCUGAACCGUAUUUGGUCUGGUGUGUAUUAAUUUGUAAUGAAGUUCAUGUAGUCCUAUUUGACUUACUCACACAUACACAAUUCAUACAUGAUCUAUAUUUGAUCUAUGUAUCCCUACAAUGUGCCUGCUGCGUCGACGUUUCGACCUAAUUUGGUCUUCUUCAGGACUGGGCACAUGUAACAGCUAAGGCUGCUGGGCCCCAAUUCAUAGGGGUGGACCAGCCAGCAGCCAGAAAGAAAUGAAAAGCCCUACCAACUUGUCUCCCUUUUAUAUCCCCUCCGCCAAAAAUUAGACUGAAUUUACUUGUAUUUAAGUUAUUUUCUACUCUAUUUAGUUUUUGAAAUCUUAACCCUUUCUGCACCGCUUGUGCUUUAAAUCCAUAUUAAUUAUGUUUAUUCACAUAUUUGUGCUUUUAAUAAACAAAUUAAUAGGUAUUUUUGAUCCCAAUAUUAGGGUUAGGGUCCUGCUUGACCUUUGACCUCUGUGGCCUGCUUGGCCGUUGGUCAUUAAGUUGCCUCUAAUGGUUAGGGUUAGGGCGAGUCCCAGGUUAGGGUUAGAAUCCCAUACUAGGGUUAGGGUUAGGGUUAGGGUUAGAUUCCCAGGUUGGGGUUAGUGCUGGGGUUAGGGUUAGGGGUCAGCGCUAUGGUUAGGGUUAGGGUGAGCGCCAUGGUUAGGGUUAGGGCUAGAUGCCAGGCUGGGGUUAUCAUCAGCAGCCGCCCGGACUGCGAGUCGGCUGAUUUUUUGCAGGUCGGGACCCAGGAAACGCGGCGACAGUGGACGUGGCACUGGCUGGAUAGGUUGGGGAAAUAAUCCCGUCUCCCCUAAAUUGCCCUACUUGGGUCGGCGGGGAGCGGGGAAUGCACGGGCCUACGCCCCGUCGGACACGCUCCCCAGGUCCCGAAAGGCUGGCGGCUACUUCCGCCAGCUGAACCGUAUUUGGUCUGGUGUGUAUUAAUUUGUAAUGAAGUUCAUGUAGUCCUAUUUGACUUACUCACACAUACACAAUUCAUACAUGAUCUAUAUUUGAUCUAUGUAUCCCUACAAUGUGCCUGCUGCGUCGACGUUUCGACCUAAUUUGGUCUUCUUCAGGACUGGGCACAUGUAACAGCUAAGGCUGCUGGGCCCCAAUUCAUAGGGGUGGACCAGCCAGCAGCCAGAAAGAAAUGAAAAGCCCUACCAACUUGUCUCCCUUUUAUAUCCCCUCCGCCAAAAAUUAGACUGAAUUUACUUGUAUUUAAGUUAUUUUCUACUCUAUUUAGUUUUUGAAAUCUUAACCCUUUCUGCACCGCUUGUGCUUUAAAUCCAUAUUAAUUAUGUUUAUUCACAUAUUUGUGCUUUUAAUAAACAAAUUAAUAGGUAUUUUUGAUCCCAAUAUUAGGGUUAGGGUCCUGCUUGACCUUUGACCUCUGUGGCCUGCUUGGCCGUUGGUCAUUAAGUUGCCUCUAAUGGUUAGGGUUAGGGCGAGUCCCAGGUUAGGGUUAGAAUCCCAUACUAGGGUUAGGGUUAGGGUUAGGGUUAGAUUCCCAGGUUGGGGUUAGUGCUGGGGUUAGGGUUAGGGGUCAGCGCUAUGGUUAGGGUUAGGGUGAGCGCCAUGGUUAGGGUUAGGGCUAGAUGCCAGGCUGGGGUUAUCAUCAGCAGCCGCCCGGACUGCGAGUCGGCUGAUUUUUUGCAGGUCGGGACCCAGGAAACGCGGCGACAGUGGACGUGGCACUGGCUGGAUAGGUUGGGGAAAUAAUCCCGUCUCCCCUAAAUUGCCCUACUUGGGUCGGCGGGGAGCGGGGAAUGCACGGGCCUACGCCCCGUCGGACACGCUCCCCAGGUCCCGAAAGGCUGGCGGCUACUUCCGCCAGCUGAACCGUAUUUGGUCUGGUGUGUAUUAAUUUGUAAUGAAGUUCAUGUAGUCCUAUUUGACUUACUCACACAUACACAAUUCAUACAUGAUCUAUAUUUGAUCUAUGUAUCCCUACAAUGUGCCUGCUGCGUCGACGUUUCGACCUAAUUUGGUCUUCUUCAGGACUGGGCACAUGUAACAGCUAAGGCUGCUGGGCCCCAAUUCAUAGGGGUGGACCAGCCAGCAGCCAGAAAGAAAUGAAAAGCCCUACCAACUUGUCUCCCUUUUAUAUCCCCUCCGCCAAAAAUUAGACUGAAUUUACUUGUAUUUAAGUUAUUUUCUACUCUAUUUAGUUUUUGAAAUCUUAACCCUUUCUGCACCGCUUGUGCUUUAAAUCCAUAUUAAUUAUGUUUAUUCACAUAUUUGUGCUUUUAAUAAACAAAUUAAUAGGUAUUUUUGAUCCCAAUAUUAGGGUUAGGGUCCUGCUUGACCUUUGACCUCUGUGGCCUGCUUGGCCGUUGGUCAUUAAGUUGCCUCUAAUGGUUAGGGUUAGGGCGAGUCCCAGGUUAGGGUUAGAAUCCCAUACUAGGGUUAGGGUUAGGGUUAGGGUUAGAUUCCCAGGUUGGGGUUAGUGCUGGGGUUAGGGUUAGGGGUCAGCGCUAUGGUUAGGGUUAGGGUGAGCGCCAUGGUUAGGGUUAGGGCUAGAUGCCAGGCUGGGGUUAUCAUCAGCAGCCGCCCGGACUGCGAGUCGGCUGAUUUUUUGCAGGUCGGGACCCAGGAAACGCGGCGACAGUGGACGUGGCACUGGCUGGAUAGGUUGGGGAAAUAAUCCCGUCUCCCCUAAAUUGCCCUACUUGGGUCGGCGGGGAGCGGGGAAUGCACGGGCCUACGCCCCGUCGGACACGCUCCCCAGGUCCCGAAAGGCUGGCGGCUACUUCCGCCAGCUGAACCGUAUUUGGUCUGGUGUGUAUUAAUUUGUAAUGAAGUUCAUGUAGUCCUAUUUGACUUACUCACACAUACACAAUUCAUACAUGAUCUAUAUUUGAUCUAUGUAUCCCUACAAUGUGCCUGCUGCGUCGACGUUUCGACCUAAUUUGGUCUUCUUCAGGACUGGGCACAUGUAACAGCUAAGGCUGCUGGGCCCCAAUUCAUAGGGGUGGACCAGCCAGCAGCCAGAAAGAAAUGAAAAGCCCUACCAACUUGUCUCCCUUUUAUAUCCCCUCCGCCAAAAAUUAGACUGAAUUUACUUGUAUUUAAGUUAUUUUCUACUCUAUUUAGUUUUUGAAAUCUUAACCCUUUCUGCACCGCUUGUGCUUUAAAUCCAUAUUAAUUAUGUUUAUUCACAUAUUUGUGCUUUUAAUAAACAAAUUAAUAGGUAUUUUUGAUCCCAAUAUUAGGGUUAGGGUCCUGCUUGACCUUUGACCUCUGUGGCCUGCUUGGCCGUUGGUCAUUAAGUUGCCUCUAAUGGUUAGGGUUAGGGCGAGUCCCAGGUUAGGGUUAGAAUCCCAUACUAGGGUUAGGGUUAGGGUUAGGGUUAGAUUCCCAGGUUGGGGUUAGUGCUGGGGUUAGGGUUAGGGGUCAGCGCUAUGGUUAGGGUUAGGGUGAGCGCCAUGGUUAGGGUUAGGGCUAGAUGCCAGGCUGGGGUUAUCAUCAGCAGCCGCCCGGACUGCGAGUCGGCUGAUUUUUUGCAGGUCGGGACCCAGGAAACGCGGCGACAGUGGACGUGGCACUGGCUGGAUAGGUUGGGGAAAUAAUCCCGUCUCCCCUAAAUUGCCCUACUUGGGUCGGCGGGGAGCGGGGAAUGCACGGGCCUACGCCCCGUCGGACACGCUCCCCAGGUCCCGAAAGGCUGGCGGCUACUUCCGCCAGCUGAACCGUAUUUGGUCUGGUGUGUAUUAAUUUGUAAUGAAGUUCAUGUAGUCCUAUUUGACUUACUCACACAUACACAAUUCAUACAUGAUCUAUAUUUGAUCUAUGUAUCCCUACAAUGUGCCUGCUGCGUCGACGUUUCGACCUAAUUUGGUCUUCUUCAGGACUGGGCACAUGUAACAGCUAAGGCUGCUGGGCCCCAAUUCAUAGGGGUGGACCAGCCAGCAGCCAGAAAGAAAUGAAAAGCCCUACCAACUUGUCUCCCUUUUAUAUCCCCUCCGCCAAAAAUUAGACUGAAUUUACUUGUAUUUAAGUUAUUUUCUACUCUAUUUAGUUUUUGAAAUCUUAACCCUUUCUGCACCGCUUGUGCUUUAAAUCCAUAUUAAUUAUGUUUAUUCACAUAUUUGUGCUUUUAAUAAACAAAUUAAUAGGUAUUUUUGAUCCCAAUAUUAGGGUUAGGGUCCUGCUUGACCUUUGACCUCUGUGGCCUGCUUGGCCGUUGGUCAUUAAGUUGCCUCUAAUGGUUAGGGUUAGGGCGAGUCCCAGGUUAGGGUUAGAAUCCCAUACUAGGGUUAGGGUUAGGGUUAGGGUUAGAUUCCCAGGUUGGGGUUAGUGCUGGGGUUAGGGUUAGGGGUCAGCGCUAUGGUUAGGGUUAGGGUGAGCGCCAUGGUUAGGGUUAGGGCUAGAUGCCAGGCUGGGGUUAUCAUCAGCAGCCGCCCGGACUGCGAGUCGGCUGAUUUUUUGCAGGUCGGGACCCAGGAAACGCGGCGACAGUGGACGUGGCACUGGCUGGAUAGGUUGGGGAAAUAAUCCCGUCUCCCCUAAAUUGCCCUACUUGGGUCGGCGGGGAGCGGGGAAUGCACGGGCCUACGCCCCGUCGGACACGCUCCCCAGGUCCCGAAAGGCUGGCGGCUACUUCCGCCAGCUGAACCGUAUUUGGUCUGGUGUGUAUUAAUUUGUAAUGAAGUUCAUGUAGUCCUAUUUGACUUACUCACACAUACACAAUUCAUACAUGAUCUAUAUUUGAUCUAUGUAUCCCUACAAUGUGCCUGCUGCGUCGACGUUUCGACCUAAUUUGGUCUUCUUCAGGACUGGGCACAUGUAACAGCUAAGGCUGCUGGGCCCCAAUUCAUAGGGGUGGACCAGCCAGCAGCCAGAAAGAAAUGAAAAGCCCUACCAACUUGUCUCCCUUUUAUAUCCCCUCCGCCAAAAAUUAGACUGAAUUUACUUGUAUUUAAGUUAUUUUCUACUCUAUUUAGUUUUUGAAAUCUUAACCCUUUCUGCACCGCUUGUGCUUUAAAUCCAUAUUAAUUAUGUUUAUUCACAUAUUUGUGCUUUUAAUAAACAAAUUAAUAGGUAUUUUUGAUCCCAAUAUUAGGGUUAGGGUCCUGCUUGACCUUUGACCUCUGUGGCCUGCUUGGCCGUUGGUCAUUAAGUUGCCUCUAAUGGUUAGGGUUAGGGCGAGUCCCAGGUUAGGGUUAGAAUCCCAUACUAGGGUUAGGGUUAGGGUUAGGGUUAGAUUCCCAGGUUGGGGUUAGUGCUGGGGUUAGGGUUAGGGGUCAGCGCUAUGGUUAGGGUUAGGGUGAGCGCCAUGGUUAGGGUUAGGGCUAGAUGCCAGGCUGGGGUUAUCAUCAGCAGCCGCCCGGACUGCGAGUCGGCUGAUUUUUUGCAGGUCGGGACCCAGGAAACGCGGCGACAGUGGACGUGGCACUGGCUGGAUAGGUUGGGGAAAUAAUCCCGUCUCCCCUAAAUUGCCCUACUUGGGUCGGCGGGGAGCGGGGAAUGCACGGGCCUACGCCCCGUCGGACACGCUCCCCAGGUCCCGAAAGGCUGGCGGCUACUUCCGCCAGCUGAACCGUAUUUGGUCUGGUGUGUAUUAAUUUGUAAUGAAGUUCAUGUAGUCCUAUUUGACUUACUCACACAUACACAAUUCAUACAUGAUCUAUAUUUGAUCUAUGUAUCCCUACAAUGUGCCUGCUGCGUCGACGUUUCGACCUAAUUUGGUCUUCUUCAGGACUGGGCACAUGUAACAGCUAAGGCUGCUGGGCCCCAAUUCAUAGGGGUGGACCAGCCAGCAGCCAGAAAGAAAUGAAAAGCCCUACCAACUUGUCUCCCUUUUAUAUCCCCUCCGCCAAAAAUUAGACUGAAUUUACUUGUAUUUAAGUUAUUUUCUACUCUAUUUAGUUUUUGAAAUCUUAACCCUUUCUGCACCGCUUGUGCUUUAAAUCCAUAUUAAUUAUGUUUAUUCACAUAUUUGUGCUUUUAAUAAACAAAUUAAUAGGUAUUUUUGAUCCCAAUAUUAGGGUUAGGGUCCUGCUUGACCUUUGACCUCUGUGGCCUGCUUGGCCGUUGGUCAUUAAGUUGCCUCUAAUGGUUAGGGUUAGGGCGAGUCCCAGGUUAGGGUUAGAAUCCCAUACUAGGGUUAGGGUUAGGGUUAGGGUUAGAUUCCCAGGUUGGGGUUAGUGCUGGGGUUAGGGUUAGGGGUCAGCGCUAUGGUUAGGGUUAGGGUGAGCGCCAUGGUUAGGGUUAGGGCUAGAUGGCCAGGCUGGGGUUAUCAUCAGCAGCCGCCCGGACUGCGAGUCGGCUGAUUUUUUGCAGGUCGGGACCCAGGAAACGCGGCGACAGUGGACGUGGCACUGG